GAAUUGUUCACAAUGGGCGCAAGCCUGAUGACGCAACGCCGCGUGGAGGAUGAAGGUCUUCGGAUUGUAAACUCCUGUUGCCCGGGACGAAUGGCCACGACCUAACACGUCGUGGUGUGACGGUACCGGGUGAGGAAGCCCCGGCUAACUCUGUGCCAGCAGCCGCGGUAAUACAGCGGGGGCAAGCGUUGUUCGGAAUUACUGGGCGUAAAGGGCGCGUAGGCGGCCCGCUAAGUCGAACGUGAAAUCCCCGAGCUCAACUCGGGAACUGCGUCCGAUACUGGCGGGCUUGAAUCCGGGAGAGGGAUGCGGAAUUCCAGGUGUAGCGGUGAAAUGCGUAGAUAUCUGGAGGAACACCGGUGGCGAAGGCGGCAUUCUGGACCGAAACUGACGCUGAGGCGCGAAAGCCAGGGGAGCAAACGGG
rnacentral:rRNA from 1 species